rnacentral:rRNA from 1 species
GGCAAGUCUGGUGCCAGCAGCCGCGGUAAUUCCAGCUCCAAUAGCGUAUAUUAAAGUUGUUGCAGUUAAAAGCUCGUAGUUGGAUUUCUGGGAGGAUGCCAAUGUCCGCUCGAUUGCGUGUGCAGCGGCGUCCUUCCAUCCUUCUGUUAACGUUUCUUGGUAUUCAGUUACUGGUUUCGGGCUCAGAUAUUUUACCUUGAGAAAAUUAGAGUGUUCCAGGCAGGCUUAGCCUGAAUAGUGCAGCAUGGAAUAAUACAAGAGGACUUGGCUCCAGUUGUUGGUGUAUGGCGCUGAGUAAUGAUUAACAGGGAUAGUUGGGGCAUUCGUAUUUAAUUGUCAGAGGUGAAAUUCUUGGAUUUAUUAAAGACGAACCUGUGCGAAAGCAUUUGCCAAGGAUGUUUUCAUUAAUCAAGAACGAAAGUUAAGGGAUC